rnacentral:rRNA from 1 species
UACGGGGGGGGCAAGCGUUGUUCGGAAUUACUGGGCGUAAAGGGCGCGUAGGCGGCCAUCUAAGUCGGACGUGAAAUCCCUCGGCUUAACCGAGGAACUGCGUCCGAUACUGGAAGGCUUGAAUCCGGGAGAGGGAUGUGGAAUUCCAGGUGUAGCGGUGAAAUGCGUAGAUAUCUGGAGGAACACCGGUGGCGAAGGCGGCAUCCUGGACCGGCAUUGACGCUGAGGCGCGAAAGCUAGGGGAGCAAACGGG